UCUUAAACCUGAUGGAAGUGACAUCCCCGUCCCGAUAGCUAUCGGGAUAAUCGGGAUAAAACGGACAGCAGGACUGAUU
rnacentral:sRNA from 1 species